AGGUCUUGACAUCCCUGACAACCCUAGAGAUAGGGCUUUCCCUUCGGACAGGACAGGUGGUGCAUGGUUGUCGUCAGCUCGUGUCGUGAGAUGUUGGGUUAAGUCCCGCAACGAGCGCAACCCUUGAUCUUAGUUGCCAGCAUUCAGUUGGGCACUCUAAGAUGACUGCCGGUGACAAACCGGAGGAAGGUGGGGAUGACGUCAAAUCAUCAUGCCCCUUAUGACCUGGGCUACACACGUGCUACAAUGGACGGUACAAAGGGCAAAUCCCAUAAAACCGUUCUCAGUUCGGAUUGUAGGCUGCAACUCGCCUACAUGAAGCUGGAAUCGCUAGUAAUCGCGGAUCAGCAUGCCGCGGUGAAUACGUUCCCGGGCCUUG
rnacentral:rRNA from 1 species